rnacentral:lncRNA from 1 species
CACUGUGGAAGCUUUGUUCUUUCGCUCUUUGCAAUAAAUCUUGCUACUGCUCACUCUUUGGGUCCACACUGCUUUUAUGAGCUGUAACUUACCGUGAAGGUCUGCAGCUUCACUCCUGAAGCCAGCGAGACCACAAGCCCACCGGGAGGAAAGAACAACUCUAGAUGCGCGGCCUUAAGAGCUGUAAUACUCACCUGGAAGGUCUGCAGCUUCACUCCUGAGCCAGCGAGACCACGAACCCCACCAGAAGGAAGAAACUCCGAACACAUCCGAACAUCAGAAGGAACAAACUCCAGACGCGCCAUCUUAAGAGCUGUAACACUCACGGCGAGGGUCCACGGCUUCAUUCUUGAAGUCAGUGAGACCAAGAACCCACCAAUUCCGGACACAAUGUGACUAGUUCUUGCCAAUGCAAUGUGAGCAAAGCAGUGUGUCAUUUCUAGGCCAAGGCAGAGUGGGGUUUAAUCUGGACUGAAUUGGAGGAAAGGAACUGGCACCAGAGUGGAGGCUGGAAGGAUGGUGGAACUGACACUGGGACAGAACACAGAAAACAGAAUCUAAUGCUA